rnacentral:tRNA from 1 species
GGCCUGGUCGCCAAGUGGGAAGGCAUUUCUCUGCAAAAGAAAUAUUCGGGAGUUCGAUUCUCCCCCAGGCCU